rnacentral:rRNA from 1 species
AAAUGACUCUCGGCAACGGAUAUCUCGGCUCUCGCAUCGAUGAAAGAAACGUAGCGAAAAUGCGAUACUUGGUGUGAAUUGCAGAAUCCCGUGAACCAUCGAGUCUUUGAACGCAAGUUGCGCCCGAAGCCAUUAGGUCGAGGGCACGCCUGCCUGGGCGU